UACAGAGGGGGCAAGCGUUGUUCGGAUUUACUGGGCGUACAGGGCGCGUAGGCGGUUGGAUAAGCCCUCCGUGAAAUCUCCAGGCUUAACCUGGAAAGUGCAGAGGGGACUGUUCAGCUAGAGGAUGGGAGAGGAGCGCGGAAUUCCCGGUGUAGCGGUGAAAUGCGUAGAGAUCGGGAGGAAGGCCGGUGGCGAAGGCGGCGCUCUGGAACAUUUCUGACGCUGAGGCUCGAAAGCGUGGGGAGCAAACAGG
rnacentral:rRNA from 1 species